rnacentral:rRNA from 1 species
UACGUAGGGGGGCAAGCGUUGUCCGGAUUUAUUGGGCGUAAAGAGCGUGUAGGCGCCACACAGGUCUGCUGUGAAAACUCGAGGCUCAACCUCGAGCUGUCGGUGGAAACCGUGUGGCUAGAGUCCGGAAGAGGAGAGUGGAAUUCCCGGUGUAGCGGUGAAAUGCGCAGAUAUCGGGAAGAACACCCGUGGCGAAGGCGGCUCUCUGGGACGGUACUGACGCUGAGACGCGAAAGCGUGGGGAGCGAACAGG